ensembl:lncRNA
GUAGGAACUUCGGGACCCUUGGGGGCAUCGUGUGAGCGUGGUGCGGGCGAGAAGGGGGGUGAGAAAGGGCCUGUGGGCCCCUUCAUCCUCAUUGGCCGCCCAUUUCUCCUCAUUCCCGCAAACACGCAGCGGCACACCCAAGUGGCAUUUGUACCUCUUUCUUGCUUUUCUUCCCGGAAGCCAUGAGAAUUGCAUAACACUCAGCCUUGUGAGAUCCGGACCAGCGAGAGAGAGGGCAUCACGUAGGGCACUGCCUUCUCCGACUCUUUAUGUGGCACUGCGGGGGGAUGUGCGGUGUGGGCUGCACGGAGACCCCAAUAGUUCCUGCUCAGGGCUGGCAGGGUGGGGGCUUUGUUGCACACCCCACCCCACCCCCACCUCAGCCACAGAGGUCAGGGCUGCUGAGGGAGUAGGCUGACCUCAGAGCUGGCAGCCACGGGGGACCUGAGUGACCUUUCAGGGUGAGCCUGGACACGGCCGAGGGACCAGCAUGGCCACUUGCUGCUGGCCCAGCCCAGUAAGACAGUGGCUCCUCAGGGUACUGCAAGAACCAGGGUCGAGUGCGGAGACCAGGGACACAGUUGGCCUGGAGGGCUUCCACAGGUGUGGCCCUGACCUCGGCCCGGGACAAAGCCCUCGAGACCCCUCAGUUCCAGUCACGGAGACCCCACCCCCUCCACUGGGGCAAAGGCGCCCUCCGUCUCCAGCGCUGCUGUCUGCUGCAGGCUCCUGGCUGCGUUCUCUCAAUCCUGCACUUGCAGGUGGAACUCAGCGAGGGCUGGCAGAGCACAGACUGCAUCCAGACACCGCGGCCCCAGCCAGACUCCGUGCUGUCAGACAAACAUGCAAGUGAAUCACCACCUGCCCGGUUUCCGCUGCAGACGCGGAGGCGAGAACCCAGGACACCUGCAUGUGAGUCCCGUCCUGUCUGAUGAGCGCAUGGACACUAAUGGUCCUGGGGCUGGCAGCGGCUGGGUGGAAGGGCGACCACGCUCAGUCCUCUCGAGGAAGAAGGGGCGACUGUCUGAUGCCACUGCUUAGAGCAGCAAAGGGACAGAACCCCGGACGGUUUGCUCGGGCAUGUGAGUGCAGCCACCACUGCCUGGUGACACCCAUGAGGACGCUGGGAGAGAGAGCGUGAGGGCCAGUGUGGGCCCAAGACCUGCACAGGAGCGUGGCCAUGCAGGGCCUGCAUGGUGCUUUCCAUGGGAGAAACAAAGGAGGGCUUUUUUCUCCCCAGAAUAGAGCUUUGGACCGCGGCUUGGACCAAGGACCUGGCUCGCACCCUUGGCAAGCCUGUGCCCAGCUGCCCUGAGGACUGGUGGCUUUUGGUGCCAGGUGCUGCUUAGCCACCAAGGCUCACGAAUACAGCCAGGUCUGGGUGCGCUCUGGUUCCACAGGACAAGGCCCUUGGUGGGCAGAGCAGGGCUAUGCAGGCCUGCAGAGCACACAGCCCCAGUGAGGGUGCUGGUCAGCAGGGCCGGGCCCUGAGGACACUGCGGCCAGGCCAGGUCCUGGAGAGGAUCUUCAUCUGGAUCCAGCCAUUCAUCGGCCUUCACCCCGUGUGGAAGAGGCAGCUCGC